rnacentral:rRNA from 1 species
AUGGCGGCGGCGUGGGGCGGCACCACGCAGAAGUGCGCCUCCUGCGGCAAGAAGGUGUACCCCGUCGAGGAGCUCGCCGCCGACGGCCGCGCCUACCACCGCCCCUGCUUCCGCUGCCACCACUGCAAGAGCACCCUCCAGUUUAGCAAUUAUUCUUCCAUCGAAGGUGUCCUGUACUGCAAACCUCACUAUGACCAGAUAUUAAAAUCAACUGGCAGUUUGGAAAAAAGUUUUGAAGGUGUGACAAGAUCAGCUAAAUCAGAAAAAUCAAAUGGACCCAAGGGCCAGCAAAACAGCAGAUUCUCUAGUAUGUUUGUUGGCACGCAAGACAAGUGCGUAGUUUGUAACAAGACUGUGUACCCUCUUGAAAAGGUUGAUCUUAACGGGGGCGCGUAUCAUAAAUCAUGCUUCCGUUGCACCCAUGGUGGUUGUACACUCAGCCCAUCCAACAAUGUCACGCAUGAAGGCAAACUUUAUUGCAAGACCCACCAUUCUCAGUUGUUUAUGGUCAAGGGAAACUUCAGUCAGUUCGAGGAGAACACUGUAAAUGCAAAAGUGGCUGUCGAGAAACUACCAGAAACUGGAGAAGCCACCAACAAGCCAGGUCAAGGUGAUGAAAUCGGUGAGAAGACCUCAGAAAAUGAGCUCACAGCUGACAAACCAUCCCAAAAUGAUGUUGCAGCUGAAAACCCAUUGCAGAGUAGCAUUGAUGUUCCUAAACCAUCAGAAAGCACAGUCGAGAAGUCAGCAGAAAGUGAAAGUGUUACUGAGAGUGAGUCAAAGAGUCCUGUAGUUAACAAUAAGCCAUUUGAAAGCAGUGCCGAGAAGCCACAUCAGAGCAGUGUGGUUGAUACUAAGCCAUCAGGAAGCAGUGCGGCCAUAAGAAAACCAUGGCAACGCAGUCUUCCCACAAAUAAGCCGUCAGUGAUUAGUGCAUCAACUGAAAAGCCAUCACCGAGCGAUGCAGCCAUUGAGAAGCCGUCAUCCAGUAAUGGGUCUAAUGGGAAACCGUCGGACAGCAGCACAGGGGUAAAAAAGUCAUGGCAGCACAGUGUAGCUACUGAGAACCCACAGCAGAGCAUGUUACCAUCGGAUAAGCCAGCAUCAACCAGUGCAGAUGAUGUGAAGCCAUCAGAAAGCGGCAAAGUGGUCAAAAAAACAUGGCAACGCCCUGUGGUUGCUGAGAACCAGAAACAAAACAGUGGACCAACCGAGAAGCCGUCACCGACGAGUGACACAAAGCCAUUAGAUAGGAGCACAACAAUUAAAAGACCAUGGGGCCGCAGAAUAGCCAGUGAGAAAUCUCUGCAGAGCAGUGAGGUUGAUAUGAAACCAGUGGAAACCAGUACAGUGGUUACUGUUCUACAGCAGCCCAGUGAGGAACCUCCACAAACCGAUGCAGCUGUGCUACAGCAGCCCAGUGAGGAACCUCAACAAACUAAUGCAGCUGUGCUACAGCAGCCCAGUGAGGAACCUCAACAAACUAAUGCAGAUGAUGUGAAGCCUUCGGAGGACACUGCAGUAGUAGUGAAAAAGCCAUGGCAAUUCAACACGAGAACCGAGAAGCAACCCCAGAGUAGUGUAGUUGAUGCAAAGAAAACUGAAAGUACUGGAGCGAUCAAACGGCAGUGGAAGCGUAACACGCCGUUUGAGAAGCCAUCACAAAGCAGUGCAGCAGCAGCUGUGACAACAACACAAAGCAAUGUGACCGUCACGAAGCCAGCCCCGAGCAACAUGGCUGUGAAGAAGUCAUGGCAAAGAAGUACAACUCCAAAAAAUCUGGCAGCGAGUGAUAUGGCUACCAAUAAAGCAUUGCAAACCAAGGCAGUGAUCGAGAAGCCAUCACAAGAAAGUUCUCAAGAGAAACCAUUACAAGAAAAGACACCUCAAGUCACUGUGAUCACCAAGAAGCGAUCGGAAGAAAGUUCUCAAGAGAAGCCAUCUCAAGAAAAGGCACCUCAAACUGCUGCGAUCAUCGAGAAGCCAUCACAAGAAAGUUCUCAAGAGAAGCCAUCUGAGGCAAAGACACCUCAAAUUGCUGCAACCGCCGAGAAGCCAUCACAAGGAAGUUCUCAAGAAAAGGCACCUCGAAAAGCUUCGAUCACCGGGAAGCCAUCACAAGAAAGUUCUCAAGAGAAGCCAUUACAAAUGAAUGAAUCUUCCAAGGAGCAACUUCAGACUGAAGAUAUUGUUGAGAAACAACUUCAAAGUGAAGAUAUUGCUGAUGCUACACCACAAAGGGACCUGAUGACACAAGAUGAUGUCUCCCUCAAGAAGAUACCAGAGCCUCAAAUUGAUGCCUCUUCUGCCGAACUGACGAAGGAUCCAUCAGAGCAAGAUGGGGCUGCAUCUGGUGAGAACUUGUCAGAGUCUCAAAGUAAGCUAACUGUUGAGCAGACGUUGGAAUCCCAAGACGCUGUGGUUCCUCAAGAGGCAACUGACCAGAUAAUGGAAUCUAAAAAUGAUGCAGGCAUUGAGCAGUCAUCAGAAUCUCAAAGUGUUGCACCGGCAGAGGUUCCAGUGGAGCAACCAUUGCAACAACAAAAAGAUGCAUCUACAGAGCAGCCAUUGGAAUCUCAGCAUGAAGCAGAUGACAAGGAUCAAACAGAGCCUAGUAGUGAUGCAAUUGCUGAGGAGUCAUUGCAGCUUCAAUUUGACACAGCUGCCGUGAAGUUAUCAGAACCACAAACAGAUGCAACUGCUGAUCAGUCGGCUGAGCAGCUACCAGAACCUCAAAGUGACGCAUCAGUGGAGGAACCAGUAGUCCAUCAAAGUAACGUGUCUACUGAGAAGCUAUCUGAGUCUCAAGGUGAUGCAGCUGCUGUUGAAUCAUCCGGACAGCCAUCAGAGCCUGAGGAGCGAUCAGAACGUCAAAUGGAUGCAGCUCCUCAUAAUUUAACUGAUCAGCCAUUGGAACCUCAAAAGGAUGUAUCUAUUGAGAAGCCACUCGAAACUGAGACUAACGUUGUUACUGAUAAUCCAUCAGAAAGUAGCUUAGCUACUGAAACACUGCCUGAAAGCACUCCAAAGAUCAGCACUGCCACCGAGGAACCUGCACAGCGUGAAAUUUCUGAUGAGACACUGCCUCAAAGCAUUGCAUUAGAUACAACACCAGAAAGCGCCACAUCUGUCGAAGAACCCACAUAUGUCGGUGAGGCCAUCGUUGAGAUAUCAGAGGACAGCUCAGCUCCCGAGAAGCCAUCAGAGGAUGCCGUUACUCCUGAGAAGCCAUCAGAUGAAGGUGAUGUAGGUGUGGAGCCAGCAGAAGACAAUGCAGCUCUUAAGAAUCCUUCGGAGGAAGAUGAGGUGAGUGCUGAGCCAUCAAACAACACAGUGGAUCUCGAGAAGCCAUCAGAGGAAAAAGAUGAUGCUAUGAAGCCAGUAGAGGACAGCGUGGCUCUUGAGAAACCAACCGCUGACAAACCUUCAGAGGAAGACAAGGUGGGUGCUGAGCCAUCAGACGAGAGAGUGGAUCUUGAUAAGCCAUCAGAGGACAGCAUGGCUGUUGAGGAGCCAGUCACCGACAAACCAUCAGUGGAAGAUGAAGCCAGUGCUGAGCCAUCAAACGACAGAACAGAUAUCGAGAAACCAUCGGAGGAGAAAGAAGACGCCACUGUGAAGUCAUCAGAGGAUAUCACGUCUCUUGAGAAGCCAGUCACUGACAAACCUUCAGAGGAAGAGGAAGAAGGCGCAGCCAGCGAGAAGCCGUCGCACGACGAUGCUGUCAUCGAGGCGCCAUCGCACGACGACAUGGACUCGGCCACCGACAAACCCUCACCAGCCACAGAGACAAACACAUCAGCCUGA